rnacentral:lncRNA from 1 species
CCGGCCGGAGGCUCCAGAGGCCUGCUGGGUGGCAUCGGCUGCCCCAGAGCAUUUGCCACGAUGCUCACAGGAGGGCCUUGUAUGGUCAGCAGCCCUCACAGAGCUGUCAGCCUGUGAUGGUUGGCAGGGGCCCCAGGAGGAGCAGCAAGGCCCAGUCAGUGGGACCCGGAGGAGUGUGUGGCGUCUGGUAGCAAGCUGUAACAUCCAGCUUGCUUAGUGAAGACCAGGCAGGUGGAUACAGGAAUCAGACAGCAAGACCUCAGAGCGAGGUGAAAGAGGCCGCUGCAGAGCGCAUGGGCCGUGGGGACGUCUGACAGUGAAGGCACCAGACAGGAGUCCUGAAGAGGAGGAGUCUGACCCUGGCAGACGCCAAUCCUGACCCAGCACAAGAGAAUGUGGAUGGCUCCAUUCAUGCCACUUCUCCUUCUGGCACAAUAACUCAUUCAUUGAGAAAAGUUCUGUUCUGUUACCGAGGAUCUUCCCAGCUGUCGAGGACACUGAGGUGGGCAAGACAGGCAAGGUCAGGUCCCACAUUAUGGAACUUACCUUCUAGGGGGACACGGACACACAGCUUGCUUUGGCUAUUGGUAGGCCACUCAACUGUAGGACAGCGAGAAAGAAGGGGAGAGAGAGACUGGUGACUUUGACGAGGCACUUGGAAAAUACUCCGGACAUAGAGCUGAUGAGAUUUGGAAACGAACUGCAUGCCGGAGUAUUUUAUAGAUAUGGCCUAGCAAGACGUCAAAGGUGGGAGCCUUUCCACUCUGCGCUCCUUGGAGAAAGCCAUUUGGAAGGUGACUCCAACCAUAGAGACAGCUGUGCUUUAGAGGCUGGUAAGUAGAGGCUGGAAGGAGAAGAUUUCCUGAUGGGUCCCAGGCUGCAAGGUCAAUUACAUGUGAACUUGCCCUUUAGUCCUAGGUUAGCUGGAGAGGCCUCCUGCCUCAGCUGGAAGGAGCUGCCUGUUGGGGUGGAGGGAGGGGCUGGGGGCUGUGGGAGAUGGAUCCUCUUUAGCUACUUUGGCCAAGGGCCCAGCUGUUCCUGUUCAGCCUCUGACGUUCAAGUGGGUUUGACCACCUGUGGAGUUAUUGCUAGUGUAUCAGUGCAUGCUAAGUGUCUCUCCUGAGUUCCUGAGGCUUCACUGCCUCCUGGGGCUGUCUUCCCAUUGCGGGAGGGAACUGCCAGGCAGGUGGCGCUUGUGCUUGGGGAAGGACUAAGCCCAUGAGUCAGUCUUACAGCUCUUCCUCUCUUACUUUCUGGCUCUAAGAGAUUUUGAUGUGGCUGUGGUUUCUGCCAUGGGCUGUGGGAUGUAGUGAAAGAAUUAUGGUCAAUAGGAGUCAGAAGUUAUGGGUCAGGUUCUGGUUCUGUCAUGUGGUUUCUGGGCUUUGUUUCCCUCAUAAAAAGGUUGUUUCUAAACAGGAGCAGAGUGUGUGUGUGCAUGAAGGAGCUGGGGAUGUUUGUAGCUUGCAAAAGUAAUCCAGGAGAAGACGUCAAACUUGCUGUUGAGGUUGUCACUGAAUAGCUUGAAAUUUCUCAGAAGACUAAAGGAAGGUGUGGGCUUUAUGUUUGUCAAAAUGGGAUGUAGGUGAAAAAGAUUGAAAAACAUAACAGGAAAAUCUCAUUUGCGGAUAUUAUGGGUUGAAUUGUGUCCCCUCAAAACAAGACACGGUGAAGUCCUAACCCCCAUUCCCUCAGAAUGUGACCUUAUUUGGAAAUAACGUCAUUGCAGAUGUAGUUGGUUAUUGUUAAGAUGAAGUCGUGCUGGAAUAGGGUGGGCCGCUAAUUCAUCGUGACUGGUGUCCUAAUAAGAAGACGGCCAAGUGAAGAGAGAGACACAGAGGGAACCUUGAGAAGGCGGAGGAUUGGAGAGGUGCAUCUGUAAGCCAAGGAAGGCCAAAGAUUGGCGGCAAACCACCAGAAGCUGGGAAGAGCCUUCUGUCACUGCUUCUGAAUUUGGAAGAGGUAAAUAGAGACUCUGGAUCGGUAAGAGUCAUCCUUUUCAAGGCGGCUAUGGCCACGUGGAGGAUCUAAUGGCUCAGCAGCCAGUGCUGGCGGUGUUAAGACGAGCGUGCAGGGAUGAUUAGGUGGUCCUGCUGGCUGCUGAAAAGACAUUUGGGCUUGACCUCCCACUCCCCCAUUUCUUGCUCAGACAUGUUUUCCAGGCUUCCCAUGAUUCUGUGAGCUACUAGCCCUUCUCUACUCGACUGGAGCCCAUUUCAACUCUUCGGAGCAUAGGGCCCUGACCAGUGCUUGACAACCUGUAAGUUUCCUUUGAGUUUUAAAGGAUGACCACUCUCUAUGCUUUUUAUCUUUAAUUACCAAUUACCAUUUAACCCAGAACCCACAGAGUGCCAAUUCUAAUCAGGGGGCCAUGCUCAGAGGAAGGCUACAGGUUGAUUCUCCCCAGGGUGGGAGGCUCACAGAAUGGGCAAAGGACCAGCUUUCUGACAUCAACAAGUAAGCCUUUGGGGCCACAGUCACGUGGGCUAAAGGGACUCCAGAGAUCAUCUCAUCCAAUCCCUUCCUUGCGUGUCAGGAAAAAUCAUGAAAGACUGAAAUGAGCAAAAGACAAUUACUGUGUCUUGUCUAGCGCGCCUUUUACAGCUCUGUAAAUUGUAGGAAACUGAUAAUGAAGCCGGGUACCUGAGGGUCACUGUAGCUAUUCAAUAAGAACAUGAGUGCCUUUUGACUUCUUCCCAACACAGACAUAAAUGAAUCUUGUCCAUUUGCUGUUUUCUUGUUUAAGUUGAGGGGCGACUCAGGGGUCGAAAAUUUGUGAGCUUGUUUUGCAGAAGAAUGAGAAGGCCUUUGGGGAGGUUGUGAUCACGGGAUGGCCAGCCCCCUGCAGCUGUUGACACCCAGAAGUCAGAUUGCUCAGGGGCUCACCAGGAGUGACCCCUUUGUUUCCCCAAAGCUCCUCCUGCCAAUCCGCUUAGCUCUAUAAAAACCCUCCUGCCUUCUUCUCUUAUUAAGGCAGAUUUGAGAGGUUCAGUACCAAUAAUAAUGCAAAUGAUUUUCUUGUCCCCAAAAAAGCAAAUUAAUUGUGUACAGUGGAAUGCAACUCAUUAUUGACCUCUUUUGGAUCUAUUUGUAAAUUCAUUUCAGCAUUCUUUUUCUGCCUAUAUAUAUAUAUAUAAAAUAUAUAUUGAACUAGUAACAUCAUAUUGGUU